rnacentral:rRNA from 1 species
CGGCGCUUGCGCGUCCCGCCGGCGACCGGCGCACGGGUGAGUAACACGUAUGCAACCUGCCCCCGCCAGGGGUACAACCCUCCGAAAGGGGGGCUGAUACCGCGUACAUCCCCUGGGGGCAUCCCCGGGGGAGGAAAAGCCCCUUUUUGGGGCGGGCGGGGAUGGGCAUGCGGCGCAUUAGGAAGACGGCGGUGUGACGGACCACCGUUCCGACGAUGCGUAGGGGUUCUGAGAGGAAGGCCCCCCCACACUGGUACUGAGACACGGACCAGACUCCUACGGAAGGCAGCAG